rnacentral:rRNA from 1 species
UGUCCAGACUCCUACGGGAGGCAGCAGUGGGGAAUAUUGCACAAUGGGGGAAACCCUGAUGCAGCGACGCCGCGUGAGUGAAGAAGUAUUUCGGUAUGUAAAGCUCUAUCAGCAGGGAAGAUAAUGACGGUACCUGACUAAGAAGCCCCGGCUAACUACGUGCCAGCAGCCGCGGUAAUACGUAGGGGGCAAGCGUUAUCCGGAUUUACUGGGUGUAAAGGGUGCGCAGGUGGCAGGGCAAGUCAGAUGUGAAAGCCCGGGGCUCAACCCCGGUAUUGCAUUUGAAACUGUCCGGAUAGAGUGCAGGAGAGGUAAGCGGAAUUCCUAGUGUAGCGGUGAAAUGCGUAGAUAUCACGCAGAACUCCGAUUGCGAAGGCAGCAUACCGGCGCCCAACUGACGCUGAAGCACGAAAGCGUGGGUAUCGAACAGGAUUAGAUACCGGUAU